AGUGAACGCUGGCGGUAGGCCUAACACAUGCAAGUCGAACGGCAGCACAGUAAGAGCUUGCUCUUACGGGUGGCGAGUGGCGGACGGGUGAGGAAUACAUCGGAAUCUACUUUUUCGUGGGGGAUAACGUAGGGAAACUUACGCUAGUACCGCAUACGACCUACGGGUGAAAGCAGGGGAUCUUCGGACCUUGCGCGAUUGAAUGAGCCGAUGUCGGAUUAGCUAGUUGGCGGGGUAAAGGCCCACCAAGGCGACGAUCCGUAGCCGGUCUGAGAGGAUGAUCAGCCACACUGGAACUGAGACACGGUCCAGACUCCUACGGGAGGCAGCAGUGGGGAAUAUUGGACAAUGGGCGCAAGCCUGAUCCAGCCAUACCGCGUGGGUGAAGAAGGCCUUCGGGUUGUAAAGCCCUUUUGUUGGGAAAGAAAAGCAGCAGGUUAAUACCCCGCUGUUCUGACGGUACCCAAAGAAUAAGCACCGGCUAACUUCGUG
rnacentral:rRNA from 1 species